UAGAGUUUGAUCCUGGCUCAGGAUGAACGCUGGCGGCGUGCCUAACACAUGCAAGUAGAGCGAACCCUUCGGGGUGAGCGGCGGACGGGUGAGUAACGCGUGGGUAACCUGCCCUGUACACACGGAUAACAUACCGAAAGGUAUGCUAAUACGGGAUAACAUAUGAGAGUCGCAUGCCUUUUGUAUCAAAGCUCCGGCGGUACAGGAUGGGCCCGCGUCUGAUUAGCUAGUUGGUAAGGUAACGGCUUACCAAGGCAUCGAUCAGUAGCCGACCUGAGAGGGUGAUCGGCCACAUUGGAAGUGAGACACGGUCCAAACUCCUACGGGAGGCAGCAGUGGGGAAUAUUGCACAAUGGGCGAAAGCCUGAUGCAGCAACGCCGCGUGAGCGAUGAAGGCCUUCGGGUCGUAAAACUCUGUCCUCAAGGAAGAUAAUGGCGGUACUUGAGGAGGAAGCCCCGGCUAACUACGUGCCAGCAGCCGCGGUAAUUCGUAGGGGGCUAGCGUUAUCCGGAAUUACUGGGCGUAAAGGGUGCGUAGGCGGUCUUUCAAGCCAGAAGUGAAAGGCUACGGCUCAACSGUAGUAAGCUUUUGGAACUGUAGGACUUGAGUGCAGGAGAGGAGAGUGGAAUUCCUAGUGUAGCGGUGAAAUGCGUAGAUAUUAGGAGGCACACCAGUAGCGAAGGCGUCUCUCUGGUCUGUAACUGACGCUGAGGCACGAAAGCGUGGGGAGCAAACAGGAUUAGAUCCCCUGGUAGUCCACGCCGUAAACGAUGAGUACUAGGUGUCGGGGGUUACCCCCCUCGGUGCCGCAGCUAACGCAUUAA
rnacentral:rRNA from 1 species